UCAGGUGUAUCUGCUGUUGGAAGGCUCUGAACAGCAAACAGUAUCCAGAAGAGGGCAGUGCUGUACCCACACAUCAGCUGGAUCAGGUUGGAAAGCCAGGACCGUUGUGGAAAUAGCCACAGGAAAUCUGAUGACUGGCAGGAUGCAUUAGUCUGGUUUUGUAGUCCCUAAAGCAAUGAGGUCAACCCAGCUGUCACCAGGUGGUAUACACACAUCACAUGCAGCAUCUUGCUUGUCUGGUCAUAACUGCCGCCCUGGUCCCCAGCAUAGCUAGACUCUAUGGAGCAGGCUGAAGUAUCCUGGUAAUACUCAACUGUUGAGUGGAUUUAAAAAAACUCCAACAAAACCUGGCCUGCAGAUCACUGGAAACUGGCAGAGUAUUCCAAGAGAAUAUCACAGGAGCAGUUCCUGGCAUUGAUGUCCAUGGUCAUGGGAGGCAGGAUUCAAACCAGGGGCUUUUCUAAUCAGCUUCCCCUGGACUUGAUGUUCUCUAAAUCCAAACUGUAGGUAUUGGAACAUAAAAAGAAAUGUGACAGAAGUAAAAUGAACAAUUCUGGUAACUCAUCCUACCAAUCACCACCCUAAAAAAAAAAAAAAUGCCACUCAUCUGGGACUAGUCAUAGACCUGCACUCAAGCAAGAAGUGAGCAUCAGAUAAAGAAAAGAUUAUGAGCUGCAGUGUUUGGUGGGGGAAAAGAAAUACAUUUGUGGUUAUGUUAAUUUGACACUGGAAGCAAUUUUCUGUGGAAGACCUUUCCUCCCAACCUGCAAUUUAUGGCCUGCUUGAAUACUGAGGCAGAACCUGUUCUCUUUUGAAUACCUGAGAAGCAUAGAAGAAUGCACUGUUGUAAUUAACAGCUGUAGGAAAUCUGACUGCCUCUGCAGAACUCCAGGGCUGUCCUAUGUAACCAGAGAGGGAGACUCAAAGAGACAGGAUGUGACCAGCUUCUGUCCACCUUCCCUCAAAAGCCAUCUGAGCUGAGUGUUUAACUCAUCUGUGGUGCUUGGAAAAUCUGGCCUUUCAAGAAGCAGUUCCUGAGGACUAUGCAAACAGCUUGAAUGCCAGUAAGUUGGCACACAACCUCCAGGAGCACUGUAAUACUGAUGUCCUGUCAUGAAGACAACUCUGGGCUGUGAAUGAGCUCAAAGGGUGGAUGAUGUUCUGGGAAGGAAGAUUGCCAUCAAUUAUAAAACAACAGAUACUUGUCAAAUUCACUUGUUAAAGC